CAAAAUAGUAUAGGAUGCAGCUGUGGCAGGCAGUUAAAGUGAAUACAGAGUGGUCUAUCAGAAUAACGUGAAAGGCUCCUGGAAUUGUAUAGUGUCCUUUGUGAAUGCUAGACUCUCUCUGUCAAGAAGCACUCCAGAUACUAGACUGGCCAGUAUCUGCUAACAGGAGCCUAUCAUAUGGACACAAC
rnacentral:lncRNA from 11 species